CGGGUGAGUAACACGUGGAUAAUCUACCCGACAAUACGGGAUAACAUUUCGAAAGGAAUGCUAAUACCGAAUAAGCCCACGACGUCUUCGGACGAUGUGGGAAAAGGUGGGGACCUUCGGGCCUACCGUUGUCGGAUGAGUCCGCGUCCCAUUAGCUAGUUGGUAGGGUAAUGGCCUACCAAGGCUACGAUGGGUAGCUGGUCUGAGAGGAUGAUCAGCCACACUGGAACUGAGACACGGUCCAG
rnacentral:rRNA from 1 species